GGUCGCGUAGCUCAGUUGGUUAGAGCGUUGGUCUUAUGAGCCGAAGGUUGCAGGUUCGGUCCCUGAUAGGACCA
rnacentral:tRNA from 1 species